rnacentral:SRP_RNA from 1 species
UUUAACGGCUAACAGAAUGAUAACCUUAUAAUCUGGUCAGGAUAGAAAUAUAGCAGCCACAUUAAGAAGUGCCAUGUCUGUUGGCUUUUUAUUAU